GGGGGACUGCGGAGGGAUCAUUACCGAGUUUACACUCCCAACCCUUUGUGAACCUUACCUAUCGUUGCUUCGGCGGACCGCCCCGGGUGCUGCGUGCCCCGGACCCAGGCGCCCGCCGGGGACCACUCAAACCCUGUUUUUGUUUUUUUCAAAACAUGUGUAUCUUCUGAGCGAGCCGAAAGGCGUCAAAAAACAAUCAAAACUUUCAACAACGGAUCUCUUGGUUCUGGCAUCGAUGAAGAACGCAGCGAAAUGCGAUAAGUAAUGUGAAUUGCAGAAUUCAGUGAAUCAUCGAAUCUUUGAACGCACAUUGCGCCCGCCAGUAUUCUGGCGGGCAUGCCUGUCCGAGCGUCAUUUCAACCCUCGGGCCCCCCUCUGCGGGCGGCCCGGCGUUGGGGCUCAGGCGCCGUCUCUGCUCGGCGCCUGUCCCCUAAAUGCAGUGGCGGCCUCGCCGCUGCCUCCUCCGCGUAGUAGCACAAACCUCGCGGCUGGAAGGCGGCGCGGCCACGCCGUAAAACCCCCCAACUUUACCAAGGUUGACCUCGGAUCAGGUAGGAAUACCCGCUGAACUUAAGCAUAUCAAUAAGAAGGAGGA
rnacentral:rRNA from 1 species